UACGUAGGGUGCAAGCGUUGUCCGGAAUUAUUGGGCGUAAAGAGCUCGUAGGCGGUCUGUCGCGUCGGACGUGAAAAUCCAAGGCUCAACCUGGACCUGCGUUCGAUACGGGCAGACUAGAGUUCGGUAGGGGAGACUGGAAUUCCUGGUGUAGCGGUGGAAUGCGCAGAUAUCAGGAGGAACACCAAUAGCGAAGGCAGCUCGCUGGGACGGUAUUGACGCUGGAGGCGCGAAAGCGUGGGGAGCAAACAGG
rnacentral:rRNA from 1 species